rnacentral:hammerhead_ribozyme from 1 species
AUCCAGCUGACGAGUCUCGAAUAGGACGAAACGCGCGUCAUACUGGAU